rnacentral:rRNA from 1 species
AGAUUAAUACAAGAUGUUAUCAUGAGUAAGCAUUUUCGCAUGAUUAAAGGUUUACCGGUGUAAGAUGGGGAUGCGUUCCAUUAGAUAGUAGGCGGGGUAACGGCCCACCUAGUCUUCGAUGGAUAGGGGUUCUGAGAGGAAGGUCCCCCACAUUGGAACUGAGACACGGUCCAAACUCCUACGGGAGGCAGCAGUGAGGAAUAUUGGUCAAUGGACGAGAGUCUGAACCAGCCAAGUAGCGUGAAGGAUGAAGGUUCUAUGGAUUGUAAACUUCUUUUAUACGGGAAUAAACGGAUCCACGUGUGGAUUUUUGCAUGUACCGUAUGAAUAAGGAUCGGCUAACUCCGUGCCAGCAGCCGCGGUAAUACGGAGGAUCCGAGCGUUAUCCGGAUUUAUUGGGUUUAAAGGGAGCGUAGAUGGGUUGUUAAGUCAGUUGUGAAAGUUUGCGGCUCAACCGUAAAAUUGCAAUUGAUACUGGCAGUCUUGAGUACAGUUGAGGUAGGCGGAAUUCGUGGUGUAGCGGUGAAAUGCUUAGAUAUCACGAAGAACUCCGAUUGCGAAGGCAGCUUACUAACCUGUAACUGACAUUGAUGCUCGAAAGUGUGGGUAUCAAACAGGAUUAGAUACCCUGGUAGUCCACACGGUAAACGAUGAAUACUCGCUGUAGGCGAAUACAGUCUGCGGCCAAGCGAAAGCAUUAAGU